rnacentral:lncRNA from 10 species
GGGGGGCGGAGUCUGCGCUGAGUGAAGAGGUGCCAGAAUCCGCGAAGAGGGUCGACGAAUGCGCUGCCGCGGAGGGCCGUGGAAGAACUUGCCGAUGGAGGGACCACAGAGGGAUCUAUGGGAGAACAACGGCAACUGCAGGAGAGUGGGCCAAAUAAUCAUGGCAACAGGACUUUUAGAAGCACGUCCUCUGAAAGCCAUUUUCUGCCUGUGGUUGGAAAGGGACUGUGAGUCUUUCCUCAGGAAGUCAGUAGCCCUACCUGGUGAGGUGAUCAAGAGUUUGCUAGCACAAGAGAUGAAGCAACAAUGGCCAUGAGGGAUUCAAGGAUUAUGCGGUAAGUCUCUGCACCCUACAAUACACCAACUGGCAGUUCCAUCAUUUGAAAGAAAAUCUUCAAGGUUUAAGACCUGUGACACAGACUGAAGCUCUCCUGGCAUACUCUGAAGCUCUCCUGGCACCCUCCCCUUUAUGCUUCACAGGUGUUUCUCCUAAUAAAUUUCUUGUAUGUCUCAUCCCAUCUGGGAAUCUGCUUCUCAGAAGACUCAAACUAACAUAUCUGCCCACUAUGUAUCAGGCACUGUGCUAGGUGCUGGAGACCUAAAAAUGGAUAAAACAGACAAGAGCCCUUCAUUCAUGGUGCUUGCAUCAUAGUGGGGGUAAAUAUUCCAUAAGCAAGAGAAUAAAUAGAUAAGAUAAAUUUAAAAACUAGAGAAUGACUUGUUAUAAAUUGAUUGGUAAUCAGGGAAGGUCUUCUGAGGAGAUGACACUUAAGCUGACACCUGAAUGAGAAGAAGGGGCUGGUCAACUGAAGACCUAGAUGAGAGUAUUGUAGGCAGAGGGAAGAGCAAGGACCACAGGUUGAGAAAGAAACUAGUUUGACAUAUUUGAUGGGGGAAAAGCCAGUUUGAAGAAUAAUAAAAAAGGGAAUGAAUGGAAUAAACAAGGACAUUAAAGAACUAGAGAGGAGCCUGAUCAUCACAGUAAGGCAUUUAGAAUAGGUUAGGGAGAAGACCAUUCUCUAUCAGGGUAGAACUGAAAAGGCUACGUCUGCUGCUAAAUGCUGCUAUAAAAAGACAAGGGCUUUCAUAUACUACAGAUGCAAUCUUUUGGAUCCACUUAUAUUGAGCAGACUUCGUGGACCCUCCUAAGAAAGUAGGCACCACAAAAAUAUUACAUCUAUACAAAAUGCAGGGCUCCAAGCCAUAGAUGUAUAUAUCACAUUGUGUGUGUGUGUGUGUGUGUGUGUGUGUGUGUGUGUGUGUGUGUGUGUGUCUGUAAAGCCAGCCAGUUUGUAAGCUGAACAUGACUCCCACAUGCUUUCAGAGAGAAGAGAAAAGAGAGAGGACCGUGUACUGGAAUAAGCCCUAAGAACUUCUUGGAAGAAGGGGAAGUUAGCUGAUCAAAAUUAUGUUGCUUUCUAGAAAAGAAGUAAAAAGCCAGGCAGUUUCUUUUGCUAGAACUGUCUGGGUAGAUUUCCAUUCUAAGAAAAUUACAACAAUGUAUAGUUUUAAAUAGCUAGAAGGAGAAUACUGAAUGUUCCCAACACAAAGAAGUGAUAAAUAUUUGAAAUGACGGAUAUAUUCAUAGUCCUUAUCUGAUUGCUAUACACAAUAUGUAUUGAAACAUCAUUAUGUACCCCAUGAAUAUGUGCAAUUAUUAUAAUUCAAUUUAAAAAAUAAAAUUAAACAAAGAAAGCAAGGGGUCAACAGCAUCCAUUGUAAAUGUGCUACCUCUCCACCUGUCUCAUUUAUGAAGUUGGGGGAGCUCCUGAACAGAUAACGAAGUGCAAUGAAAUUUGGAGAAGAAAUCUAGUACCUAGGUCUAGAGAGCAAAUGUGCAACUUCUUUGGAGAAUAUGUUUCAAAUAAAGCUUCAAGAGCUGUUCCUAGUAGCAUAUGGCUGUUGCUCUUGGUGUGGAGGUUCAUGGAGUAAUGUUUCUUGAUCAGAGGAUCUUGCAGGUUAUUGUUCACUUCUACUGCUGCCUCUACCCAAUGUAUAGUUUGAGUCCUAAGAGGCUUGGCCUUUUUACUUUGCCUUCCACCCCAAUAGGGACAGCACAGUGAGAAACAGAUCUACAAUGGCUCCGCAGACCUUUCCUUUGGAGAGAUGCUGGGCAGCUGCACACACUAAGAAAGUUUCCUGAAAUAGAAUUGCAUUAUCUGAGGCCUGGAAAAUGUGUUGGAAAAGCUCACUUAGCUAUGGGAAAGCCGAUGAAAGACCUGUCUGGUUUCUGAGCAUUGUCUGGGGAGCUCAAAUUCUAUAAAUGGGCCCCCAAGGUAUCCAUCAUUUAGCCCUUGCCAAGGCUGGGUCAACAUGCUGGCAAAGAACUGUCUGAACAUUGAAAAAUCCUCCAACCUAUUAUCUCCUGAGAGAAAGCUAGUUAUUUGAAAUACAAGUUGGAUUUUAAAAUUUCUAUCAGCAUGUUUUUAAAUUAAUCUUUUGUUAAUGUAAACAUACAGAAAAUUACAUGCAUUAUAAGUGAACAGAUCAAUGAAUUUUCAAAAAGUGAAUAUAACUUUAUAGCCACAUCAGAUCAAGAAACAGACAUUACCAGCACCCCAGGAGUCUUUCUACUAUUUCCUUCCUGAAUCCAGAAUAGGGUAACUACUAUUCUGGAUUGUAAUACAGAUAAGUUAACUUUGCCUGUUUUGUAUUUUAUGCAAAUAAAGUCAUACCAUAUACAGUACUGAUCUCAAGGAAGAAGCUUUUAGCAUUUUAAUAUUAAAUACAAUAACAUGUAAUUUUUUGGUAGAUUUUUAAAAUCGAAUUUAGAAAGUUCCCUUCUAUUUCUAGUUUGUUACAAAUUUUCAUCAUGAAUAUAUGUUGAAUUUUGUCAAAUGCUUUAUUUUAUUGAGAUAAUCUGC